CUUAACUUCGGAACAAGAACAAUACUAUACCGGUUGGUGAACAAUAAAAAUAGGGGAGAUGCCUGAUUCCUUAAUGAACAAACGCAUGAUUUAGAACCUUCUCACUCCACUGAGACUUCAGAGUCUAUGCAUGACACUGCCACAUUCCUUCCUCCAUUUGCCACUACACUGCUCUCACCGUUUCUUGCCACGCUGUGUUCAAUUUGCCUCUUGAGUAGAGCGCCCACUGCUGGUACUCAUCGGUAAAGCAGGCGAGAGUCCCUACUGAACACAGUCUCCUCCACAUUCCCAUCUUGAGGACAAUUAAGAAGAAUGUUGUGACUUCUGAGUGGAGCUUUAAGCUGUGCCCAGGCACUCUGAGGACGCUCAACUCCUCCUUCACUGCAUGUGUCCAUCACGACGUUUUCUCUGGAGUGA